AACUUUUAGCAAUGGAUCACUUGGCUCUCGCAUCGAUGAAGAACGCAGCGAAAUGCGAUAAGUAAUGUGAAUUGCAGAAUUCACUGAAUCAUCGAAUCUUUGAACGCACCUUGCGCCCCUUGGCCAUUCCGAGGGGCAUGCCUGUUUGAGUAUCAUGAACACCUCGACUCUCAUGGCUUGCCAUGAUGACGUUAGACGUCUGGGGUUGUGUUGGCCUCUGUGGUAAGCUCCUCUUAAAUGAAUCAGCGUGCUAGUGUUUGGCGGCAUUGUGGGUGUGAUAACUAUCUACGCCCAUGGUUGUUUGCCAGGUAACCUGCAGCAGUGGAGGUUCGCUGGGGCUUAUAAAUGUCUCUCCUCAGCAUGAGACAGCAUUUUGAACGUUCGAUCUCAGAUCAGGUAGGACUACCCGCUGAACUUAAGCAUAUCAAUAAGCGGAGGUU
rnacentral:misc_RNA from 1 species